GCCCAGCUUGCUGGGUGGAUUAGUGGCGAACGGGUGAGUAACACGUGAGUAACCUGCCCUUGACUCUGGGAUAAGCGUUGGAAACGACGUCUAAUACCGGAUACGAGCUUCCACCGCAUGGUGAGUUGCUGGAAAGAAUUUUGGUCAAGGAUGGACUCGCGGCCUAUCAGCUUGUUGGUGAGGUAAUGGCUCACCAAGGCGACGACGGGUAGCCGGCCUGAGAGGGUGACCGGCCACACUGGGACUGAGACACGGCCCAGACUCCUACGGGAGGCAGCAGUGGGGAAUAUUGCACAAUGGGCGAAAGCCUGAUGCAGCAACGCCGCGUGAGGGACGACGGCCUUCGGGUUGUAAACCUCUUUUAGCAGGGAAGAAGCGAAAGUGACGGUACCUGCAGAAAAAGCACCGGCUAACUACGUGCCAGCAGCCGCGGUAAUACGUAGGGUGCAAGCGUUGUCCGGAAUUAUUGGGCGUAAAGAGCUCGUAGGCGGUUUGUCGCGUCUGCUGUGAAAUCCCGAGGCUCAACCUCGGGUCUGCAGUGGGUACGGGCAGACUAGAGUGCGGUAGGGGAGAUUGGAAUUCCUGGUGUAGCGGUGGAAUGCGCAGAUAUCAGGAGGAACACCGAUGGCGAAGGCAGAUCUCUGGGCCGCUACUGACGCUGAGGAGCGAAAGGGUGGGGAGCAAACAGGCUUAGAUACCCUGGUAGUCCACCCCGUAAACGUUGGGCGCUAGAUGUGGGGACCAUUCCACGGUUUCCGUGUCGUAGCUAACGCAUUAAGCGCCCCGCCUGGGGAGUACGGCCGCAAGGCUAAAACUCAAAGGAAUUGACGGGGGCCCGCACAAGCGGCGGAGCAUGCGGAUUAAUUCGAUGCAACGCGAAGAACCUUACCAAGGCUUGACAUAUACGAGAACGGGCCAGAAAUGGUCAACUCUUUGGACACUCGUAAACAGGUGGUGCAUGGUUGUCGUCAGCUCGUGUCGUGAGAUGUUGGGUUAAGUCCCGCAACGAGCGCAACCCUCGUUCUAUGUUGCCAGCACGUAAUGGUGGGAACUCAUGGGAUACUGCCGGGGUCAACUCGGAGGAAGGUGGGGACGACGUCAAAUCAUCAUGCCCCUUAUGUCUUGGGCUUCACGCAUGCUACAAUGGCCAGUACAAAGGGCUGCAAUACCGUAAGGUGGAGCGAAUCCCAAAAAGCUGGUCCCAGUUCGGAUUGAGGUCUGCAACUCGACCUCAUGAAGUCGGAGUCGCUAGUAAUCGCAGAUCAGCAACGCUGCGGUGAAUACGUUCCCGGGCCUUGUACACACCGCCCGUCAAGUCAUGAAAGUCGGUAACACCCGAAGCCAGUGGCCUAACCGCAAGGAUGGAGCUGUCUAAGUGAUUCCGUUUCCU
rnacentral:rRNA from 1 species